CGAGGGGCCACAAAGGGAUGAAGUUCGGAGUAAGGGCCGGAGGAAUCUUGCACUGAUGGCAGUGGUCCCCCUGGAGUGGCAGUGGGGGGCUCACCAUGUGCAGGAACCCUGGAGUCCGGCCGAGGUACCCCUGCGUACCCCUUGGCGAGUUCUUUGUUGGUAAACUUCAUCUUGGCGGGCAUCGACAAUUCUUGGACCGCCAAAGUCCUGAC